UACGAAGGGGGCUAGCGUUGCUCGGAAUUACUGGGCGUAAAGGGCGCGUAGGCGGCCACCGCAAGUCGGUUGUGAAAUCUCUGGGCUUAACCCAGAAAGGUCAACCGAUACUGCGGGGCUAGAGUGCAGAAGGGGCAACUGGAAUUCUCGGUGUAGCGGUGAAAUGCGUAGAUAUCGAGAGGAACACCUGCGGCGAAGGCGGGUUGCUGGGCUGACACUGACGCUGAAGCGCGAAAGCUAGGGGAGCGAACGGG
rnacentral:rRNA from 1 species